rnacentral:rRNA from 1 species
GUGAGGAAUAUUGGUCAAUGGGCGAGAGCCUGAACCAGCCAAGUCGCGUGAAGGAAGAAGGAUCUAUGGUUCGUAAACUUCUUUUGCAGGGGAAUAAAGUGCGGGACGUGUCCUGUUUUGUAUGUACCCUGAGAAUAAGGAUCGGCUAACUCCGUGCCAGCAGCCGCGGUAAUACGGAGGAUCCGCGCGUUAUCCGGCUUUAUUGGGUUUAAAGGGUGCGUAGGUGGUUUGAUAAGUCAGCGGUGAAAGUUUGCAGCUUAACUGUAAAAAUGCCGUUGAAACUGUCGGACUUGAGUGUAAAUGAGGUAGGCGGAAUGCGUGGUGUAGCGGUGAAAUGCAUAGAUAUCACGCAGAACUCCGAUUGCGAAGGCAGCUUACUAGGCUACAACUGACACUGAAGCACGAAAGCGUGGGGAUCAAACAGGAUUAGAAACCCUGGUAGUCC